UACAGAGGUCCCAAGCGUUGUUCGGAUUCACUGGGCGUAAAGGGUGCGUAGGCGGCCCGGUAAGUCAGUGGUGAAAGCCUCCAGCUCAACUGGAGAACUGCCAUUGAUACUGCCGGGCUUGAGUACAGACGAGGUUGGCGGAAUUGAUUGUGUAGCGGUGAAAUGCAUAGAUACAAUCAAGAACUCCGAUUGCGUAGGCAGCUAACUAGGCUGUAACUGACGCUGAGGCACGAAAGCGUGGGGAGCGAACAGG
rnacentral:rRNA from 1 species